UUAAAGGGCUGCAGUAUAUUGACUGUACAAAGGUAGCAUAAUCAUUAGUCAUUUAAUUGAUGACUUGUAUGAAGGAUUGGAUGAAAUAUAAACUGUCUCUUAAUUAUAUUUAGAAUUUAAUUUUUUAAUUAAAAAGUUAAAAUAAAUUAGAAAGACGAGAAGACCCUAUAGAGUUUUAUAAGUAAAAUUAAUUGAGAUUAUUUGUAAAGGUUAAAAUUAAGAUUAAUUUAUUUAUUUUGUUGGGGUGACAGAAAAAUAUGAAAAACUUUUUAUAUGUUUAAACAUUAAUAAGUGGUUAAAUGAUCCAAUAUUAUUGAUUAUAAGAAAAAAUUACCUUAGGGAUAACAGCGUAAUUUUUUUUUUUAGUUCACAUAAAAAAAAAAGUUUGCGACCUCGAUGUUGGAUUAAGAUAAAAUUUAAAUGCAGAAG
rnacentral:rRNA from 1 species